rnacentral:lncRNA from 1 species
CCCUGCCGUCGAGUUCUCCUUUAUGGAGGUGAGACGUCCUCCCCCUGCCCCAGACACAGCGCUAGUCCUUCAGCCUGUCUGCCUCCGCCCCAGCGUCCACCCUGUCCUGGCAGGACGACCAGGCCUACCCAUUCCUGCACACAAAGGAGGACACUUAUGAGAACCUGCAUAAGGUGCUGCAAGGCCGCCUGCCCGCCGUGGCCCAGGCCGUGGCCCAGCUCGCAGGGCAGCUCCUCAUCCGGCUCAGCCACGAUCGCCUGCUGCCCCUCGACUUCGGCCGCUACGGGGACGUCGUCCUCAGGCACAUCGGGAACCUCAACGAGUUCUCUGGGGACCUCAAGGCCCGCGGGCUGACCCUGCAGUGGGUGUACUCGGCGCGGGGGGACUACAUCCGGGCGGCGGAAAAGCUGCGGCAGGAGAUCUACAGCUCGGAGGAGAGAGACGAGCGACUGACACGCAUGUACAACGUGCGCAUAAUGCGGGUGAGGCCCCGCCCUCCUCGCCCCGCCCCCAGUGUCCCGCCCCUCCCCUGGGGCUCCACCUCCUGGACCUGGCCCCGUCUGCGCGCUCCUCUCUCUCCCCGCCUACACAGUCCCGGUCCUCUGGAUGCUCUCUUCCCAGUCCUGGACACGCAGUGCUCAUAGAUCGGUCAGGCUGGAGGACCCGAGCGAUCAAAGUGAUGAAAUGGACAG